rnacentral:misc_RNA from 1 species
GGAAUUGAGAUUUAAUCAUGGAGAUGAAGCUGACCAUCAAGCGGGUGCCCACCGUGGUUUCCAACUACCAGGAGGAUGCUGCCGCCACCGCCGGCGAACGCCCCCGCGCCGGCUGCGGGAGGGAUUGCCUCGGGGAUUGCUGCUUGCCCGAUUCCAAGCUUCCGCUGUAUGCUUUCAAGGCGAGUCCGAAAAAGCCGUCUUCGCAGGAGGAUGCUUCCAACGAUGAGUUCUUUGUCAAUCUCCUGCUCGGCCUGUGGGAAGACAGGAUGGCCCGAGGUUUGUUCCGAUAUGAUGUCACUGCCUGUGAGACCAAGGUUAUCCCAGGCAACCUUGGGUUUGUUGCACAACUGAAUGAAGGACGCCACCUCAAGAAGCGCCCUACUGAAUUCCGCGUGGACCGUGUGCUUCAACCAUUUGAUGCUGCCAAGUUCAACUUCACCAAAGUUGGCCAGGAGGAGGUGCUCUUCCAAUUUGAGAAUGGUGGUGGUGAUGACAGCUUCUUUGUGGAGAGCUCCCCAAUCAGUGUUGCUGAUCGUGCUCCUAAUGUUGUUG